ensembl:lncRNA
UCCAUUUGACUCAAAAAUCUGAGGGGCCACGUGUUUGAAUGUCUGUUUGAACAAAUCGGUUAAGUGAAUACUUCUUCGUUUUAGAAAACCAUGUCAGUCUAAGGAAGAAGAUGAAGAACAGGAUCGGUUCAUUUUUCAAGAGGGCAUGGAAGGCUAUAAAGCGUCCUUCCCUCAGUUGCGGGACCAGAAUGGAGCCAUCUGUGGCCCCACCAGCUGACGCAGAACGGGACCCAGAGCCGGCCGAUCCGGAUUCAUCGUGUUCUGCAGGGCCCUCUGGUUUCAAGCCAACUGAUGAAUCUGAAGAGUUUGGCUAUGAAAUGGGAGGCUUUGGCACAGUGAAUAAUGAAACCCCUACAUCUAGCAGCAUACAGGUACUCUUAGUGAAUUCAACAAAUAUAUAGAUUUUACAUAUAACGUUGCAUCUUGAUCAAAACAUCUGUUUAAA